rnacentral:rRNA from 1 species
AGAGUUUGAUCCUGGCUCAGAACGAACGCUGGCGGCAGGCCUAACACAUGCAAGUCGAGCGAGACCUUCGGGUCUAGCGGCGGACGGGUUAGUAACGCGUGGGAACGUACCCUUUUCUAAGGAAUAGCCACUGGAAACGGUGAGUAAUGCCUUAUACGCCCUUCGGGGGAAAGAUUUAUCGGAGAAGGAUCGGCCCACGUUAGAUUAGAUAGUUGGUGGGGUAAUGGCCUACCAAGUCUACGAUCUAUAGCUGGUUUGAGAGGAUGAUCAGCAACACUGGGACUGAGACACGGCCCAGACUCCUACGGGAGGCAGCAGUGGGGAAUCUUAGACAAUGGGCGCAAGCCUGAUCUAGCCAUGCCGCGUGAGUGAUGAAGGCCUUAGGGUCGUAAAGCUCUUUCGCCUGUGAAGAUAAUGACUGUAGCAGGUAAAGAAACCCCGGCUAACUCCGUGCCAGCAGCCGCGGUAAUACGGAGGGGGUUAGCGUUGUUCGGAAUUACUGGGCGUAAAGCGCGCGUAGGCGGACAUUUAAGUCAGAGGUGAAAUCCCAGGGCUCAACCCUGGAACUGCCUUUGAUACUGGGUGUCUUGAGUUCGAGAGAGGUGAGUGGAAUUCCGAGUGUAGAGGUGAAAUUCGUAGAUAUUCGGAGGAACACCAGUGGCGAAGGCGGCUCACUGGCUCGAUACUGACGCUGAGGUGCGAAAGUGUGGGGAGCAAACGGGAUUAGAUACCCUGGUAGUCCACACCGUAAACGAUGAAUGCCAGUCGUCGGGCAGUAUACUGUUCGGUGACACACCUAACGGAUUAAGCAUUCCGCCUGGGGAGUACGGUCGCAGAUUAAACUCAAAGGAAUUGACGGG